UACAGAGGGGGCAAGCGUUGUUCGGAAUUACUGGGCGUAAAGGGCGCGUAGGCGGCCUGUUAAGUCGAACGUGAAAUCCCCGGGCUCAACCCGGGAACUGCGUCCGAUACUGGCAGGCUUGAAUUCGGGAGAGGGAUGCGGAAUUCCAGGUGUAGCGGUGAAAUGCGUAGAUAUCUGGAGGAACACCGGUGGCGAAGGCGGCAUCCUGGACCGGCAUUGACGCUGAGGCGCGAAAGCUAGGGGAGCAAACGGG
rnacentral:rRNA from 1 species